rnacentral:rRNA from 1 species
AAUCCCUUAUCGAGGAUCAAUUGGAGGGCAAGUCUGGUGCCAGCAGCCGCGGUAAUUCCAGCUCCAAUAGCGUAUAUUAAAGUUGUUGCAGUUAAAAAGCUCGUAGUUGGAUUUGUGGUUUACGCAAGGCUUCCGUCCCUCUUGGGUUUCGGUGUUGCCUGGCGUUGCCAUCCUUGGGUGGAAUCUGUGUGGCAUUAGGUUGUCGUGCAGGGGAUGCCCAUCGUUUACUGUGAAAAAAUUAGAGUGUUCAAAGCAGGCUUAUGCCGUUGAAUAUGUUAGCAUGGAAUAAUAUUAUAGGACCUUGGUACUAUUUUGUUGGUUUGCGCACCGAGGUAAUGAUUAACAGGGUCAACUGGGGAUAUUCGUAUUCCGCUGUCAGAGGUGAAAUUCUUGGAUUUUUGGAAGACGAACUACUGCGAAAGCAUUUAUCAAGGAUGUUUUCAUUAAUCAAGAACGAAAGUUAGGGGAUCGAAGAUGAUUAGAUACCAUCGUAGUCUUAACCAUAAACUAUGCCGACAAGGGAUUGGUGGAGUAUCGUUACGUCUCCAUCAGCACCUUAUGAGAAAUCAAAAGUCUUUGGGUUCCGGGGGGAGUAUGGCCGCAAGGCUGAAACUUAAAAAAUUGACGGAAGGGCACCACCAGGAGUGGAGCCUGCGGCUUAAUUUGACCCAACACGGGAAAACUUACCAGGUCCAGACAUAGUGAGGAUUGACAGAUUGAGAGCUCUUUCUUGAUUCUAUGGGUGGUGGUGCAUGGCCGUUCUUAGUUGGUGGAGUGAUUUGUCUGGUUAAUUCCGUUAACGAACGAGACCCCUGCCUGCUAAAUAGCCCAGUGAGUGAUUUUUCACUGACUGUUGGCUUCUUAGAGGGACGUGCAUUCUAUUAGAUGCAGGAAGAUAGGGGCAAUAACAGGUCUGUGAUGCCCUUAGAUGUCCUGGGCCGCACGCGCGCUACACUGAUGAAUUCAACGAGUUUUUUCCUUGGCCGAGAGGCCUGGGCAAUCUUUUGAACGUUCAUCGUGAUAGGGAUAGAUUAUUGCAAUUAUUAAUCUUGAACGAGGAAUUCCUAGUAAACGCAGAUCAUCAAUCUGCAUUGAUUACGUCCCUGCCCUUUGUACACACCGCCCGUCGCACCUACCGAUUGAAUGGUCCGGUGAAGCCUCGGGAUUGUGGUCAGUUUGCUUUAUUGCGAGUUGAUUGCGAGAACUUGUCUAAACCUUAUCAUUUAGAGGAAGGUGAAGUC